rnacentral:rRNA from 1 species
ACGGUACCGGCAUAAGAAGCACCGGCUAACUACGUGCCAGCAGCCGCGGUAAUACGUAGGGUGCGAGCGUUAAUCGGAAUUACUGGGCGUAAAGCGUGCGCAGGCGGUUUUUUAAGACAGGCGUGAAAUCCCCGGGCUCAACCUGGGAACUGCGCUUGUGACUGGAAGGCUAGAGUAUGGCAGAGGGGGGUGGAAUUCCACGUGUAGCAGUGAAAUGCGUAGAGAUGUGGAGGAACACCAAUGGCGAAGGCAGCCCCCUGGGCCAAUACUGACGCUCAUGCACGAAAGCGUGGGUAGCAAACAGGAUUAGAUACCCUGGUAGUCCACGCCCUAAACGAUGUCAACUAGGUGUUGGGUGGGUAAAACCAUUUAGUACCGGAGCUAACGCGUGAAGUUGACCGCCUGGGGAGUACGGCCGCAAGGUUAAAACUCAAAGGAAUUGACGGGGACCCGCACAAGCGGUGGAUGAUGUGGAUUAAUUCGAUGCAACGCGAAAAACCUUACCUACCCUUGACAUGUCCAGGAGCCUGAAGAGAUUUGGGUGUGCCCGAAAG